CAUGUUAAGUACUUGGAGGUGAAGAGACAAGUCGUACAGGUAACCGACGUUGAAUGCUGUGCUUGCACUGAUUUCAGAUGAAGGGGUGGGGAACUGGUGAGUAACACGUGGGAAAUCUGCCGGGAAGCAGGAGAUAACACUUGGAAACAGGUGCUAAUACCGAAUAACAACAAAAUCCGCAUGGAUUUUGUUUGAAACGUGGCUUCCGCUAUCACUUCUGGAUGAUCCCGCGGCUUAUUAGUUAGUUGGUGAGGUAAAGGCCCACCAAUACGAUGAUACGUAGCCGACCUGAGAGGGUAAUCGGCCACUUUGGGACUGACACACCGCCCAAACUCCUACGGGAGGCAGCAUUAGGGAAUCUUCCACAAUGGACGAAAGUCUGAUGGAGCAAUGCCGCGUGAGUGAAGAAGGGUUUCAGCUCGUAAAACUCUGUUGUUAAAGAAUAACACCUUUGAGAUUAACUGUUCAAGGGUUUACAGUAUUUAACCAGAAAGCCACAGCUCACUACGUGCCACCCGUCGCGUUAAUACAAAAGUGGCAAGCGUUGUCCUGAUUUAUUGGCCGUAAAGCGCGCGCAGGUUGUUUUUUGAAUCUGAUGUGAAAGCCUUCGGCAUAACCAGAAAAGUGCAUCAGAACUGGGGACUUAAAUGCAUAAAAGGACUUGGACUCCUUGUGGAGCGGGGGAAUGCGUAGAUAUAUGGACGA
rnacentral:rRNA from 2 species